rnacentral:rRNA from 1 species
GUGCAGCGCCGCGGUACUACCGGCAGCCCAAGUGAUGGCCGCUCUUAUUGGGCCUAAAGCGUCCGUAGCUGGCUGCGCAAGUCCGUCGGGAAAUCCACUCGCCCAACGAGUGGGCGUCCGACGGAAACUGCACAGCUUGGGACCGGAAGGCUCGAAGGGUACGUUCGGGGUAGGAGUGAAAUCCCAUAAUCCCGCACGGACCACCGAUGGCGAAAGCACUUCGAGAAAACGGAUCCGACAGUGAGGGACGAAAGCCAGGGUCUCCAACCGGAUUAGAAACCCUGGUAGUCC